rnacentral:rRNA from 1 species
ACCUUAAUUACAUGCAAGUCGAACGAACUCUGGUAUUGAUUGGUGCUUGCAUCAUGAUUUACAUUUGAGUGAGUGGCGAACUGGUGAGUAACACGUGGGAAACCUGCCCAGAAGCGGGGGAUAACACCUGGAAACAGAUGCUAAUACCGCAUAACAACUUGGACCGCAUGGUCCGAGCUUGAAAGAUGGCUUCGGCUAUCACUUUUGGAUGGUCCCGCGGCGUAUUAGCUAGAUGGUGGGGUAACGGCUCACCAUGGCAAUGAUACGUAGCCGACCUGAGAGGGUAAUCGGCCACAUUGGGACUGAGACACGGCCCAAACUCCUACGGGAGGCAGCAGUAGGGAAUCUUCCACAAUGGACGAAAGUCUGAUGGAGCAACGCCGCGUGAGUGAAGAAGGGUUUCGGCUCGUAAAACUCUGUUGUUAAAGAAGAACAUAUCUGAGAGUAACUGUUCAGGUAUUGACGGUAUUUAACCAGAAAGCCACGGCUAACUACGUGCCAGCAGCCGCGGUAAUACGUAGGUGGCAAGCGUUGUCCGGAUUUAUUGGGCGUAAAGCGAGCGCAGGCGGUUUUUUAAGUCUGAUGUGAAAGCCUUCGGCUCAACCGAAGAAGUGCAUCGGAAACUGGGAAACUUGAGUGCAGAAGAGGACAGUGGAACUCCAUGUGUAGCGGUGAAAUGCGUAGAUAUAUGGAAGAACACCAGUGGCGAAGGCGGCUGUCUGGUCUGUAACUGACGCUGAGGCUCGAAAGUAUGGGUAGCAAACAGGAUUAGAUACCCUGGUAGUCCAUACCGUAAACGAUGAAUGCUAAGUGUUGGAGGGUUUCCGCCCUUCAGUGCUGCAGCUAACGCAUUAAGCAUUCCGCCUGGGGAGUACGGCCGCAAGGCUGAAACUCAAAGGAAUUGACGGGGGCCCGCACAAGCGGUGGAGCAUGUGGUUUAAUUCGAAGCUACGCGAAGAACCUUACCAGGUCUUGACAUACUAUGCAAAUCUAAGAGAUUAGACGUUCCCUUCGGGGACAUGGAUACAGGUGGUGCAUGGUUGUCGUCAGCUCGUGUCGUGAGAUGUUGGGUUAAGUCCCGCAACGAGCGCAACCCUUAUUAUCAGUUGCCAGCAUUAAGUUGGGCACUCUGGUGAGACUGCCGGUGACAAACCGGAGGAAGGUGGGGAUGACGUCAAAUCAUCAUGCCCCUUAUGACCUGGGCUACACACGUGCUACAAUGGAUGGUACAACGAGUUGCGAACUCGCGAGAGUAAGCUAAUCUCUUAAAGCCAUUCUCAGUUCGGAUUGUAGGCUGCAACUCGCCUACAUGAAGUCGGAAUCGCUAGUAAUCGCGGAUCAGCAUGCCGCGGUGAAUACGUUCCCGGGCCUUGUACACACCGCCCGUCACACCAUGAGAGUUUGUAACACCCAAAGUCGGUGGGGUAACCUUUUAGGAACCAGCCGCCUAAGGUGACCAGGAA